rnacentral:tRNA from 1 species
GAAGGUAUAGCUCAAUGGUAGAGUGUGUGCUUAGCAUGCAUGAGGUCCUGGGUCCGAUCCCCAGUACUGUUA